GCCUGAUCCAGCCAUGCCGGUGCAGGAUGAAGGCCUUCGGGUUGUAAACUGCUUUUGUACGGAACGAAACGGCCUUUUCUAAUAAAGAAGGCUAAUGACGGUACCGUAAGAAUAAGCACCGGCUAACUACGUGCCAGCAGCCGCGGUAAUACGUAGGGUGCAAGCGUUAAUCGGAAUUACUGGGCGUAAAGCGUGCGCAGGCGGUUAUGUAAGACAGUUGUGAAAUCCCCGGGCUCAACCUGGGAACUGCAUCUGUGACUGCAUAGCUAGAGUACGGUAGAGGGGGAUGGAAUUCCGCGUGUAGCAGUGAAAUGCGUAGAUAUGCGGAGGAACACCGAUGGCGAAGGCAAUCCCCUGGACCUGUACUGACGCUCAUGCACGAAAAGCGUGGGGAGCAAACAGGANUAGAUCCCCUGGUAGUC
rnacentral:rRNA from 1 species